UUGGAAACUGGAUGACUUGAGUGCAGUAGAGGAAAGUGGAACUCCAUGUGUAGCGGUGAAAUGCGUAGAUAUAUGGAAGAACACCAGUGGCGAAGGCGGCUUUCUGGACUGUAACUGACGUUGAGGCUCGAAAGUGUGGGUAGCAAACAGGAUUAGAUACCCUGGUAGUCCACACCGUAAACGAUGAGUGCUAGGUGUUUGAGGGUUUCCGCCCUUAAGUGCCGCAGCUAACGCAUUAAGCACUCCGCCUGGGGAGUACGACCGCAAGGUUGAAACUCAAAGGAAUUGACGGGGACCCGCACAAGCGG
rnacentral:rRNA from 1 species